AUGCUCGGGGUCUCUUGGGGACGAGCGCGGUCGGGCGGGGUUACUGAGCGUCCGGCGAGGGCCCCGCGGGGACCAACCUCUGCAGCCAUCGCGAUUGCUUCCUCACAUCCCAAGAUGGCUUCUGGGUUCCACUCGUUCCCCCAACACUACGGAGCACACCCCUCCCCCCUUUUUCGAGGCGGACUGGUAUCUGGGCGCUCGGGUCCGGUUCCCUCCCUCCCCCCGCCCCUGAGGCCUCCUAAUCUUGGUUCCGAGGUGUGGGUCCCCGUCGCGGGGGAGGCGGGAGGCGGCGGCAGGGGGUUCCCCUCCGGCCGGAUUAGUGGUAGGUGCUUCCUGCGGUGGCGUUUCUGGCGACCCCGAGCACCGUGGAGGGUCUCGGGGCCGAAAGUGCGCGGGGCUGUGUUCCGGGCGGGCAGAAGCUGGCGUGGGACUAGCUGGGGCCUGUGUCUCCUUGGCUCUCUAUUGCAGUGAGCGGCCGCGUCUCUGUUGGAACCGGCGGCGUUGCGUCUAUAAAGGCGAAAGCCUUGAGGUUGAAGGUGGGACGAGCCUAAUGAAGUGGUUAGUCAACGACCGCACCGACCCUUAAGCGUUCUUAAGACGAGAGCUGUGAGGGGAACACUACGCAAGGAGCCCUUUCCCUUAACGUCCCUUCUCCUUUCUUUCACUUCGAAACGAAUGUGAAAAUGCUAUAACGCCUGAUUUUUCUCAUUCCUUGAUGUUGGGUUUUUUUUCUUCUUUAUAUCUCAACUUCUAAUGCUCUUCUUCCUGUGACCUUACAUCUAAAAACUGAUCACUCCUUUACAGGUUUUUACGGUAAAAAAAAAAAAAAAAAAGAAAGAAAGCAAAGGAAUCUUCCGUCUUGAAUCUUACAUAACUGGA